GUGAGGAAUUUUCCGCAAUGGGCGAAAGUCUGACGGAGCAAUGCCGCGUGAAGGAUGAAGGCCUAUGGGUUGUAAACUUCUUUUCUCAGAAAAGAAUUAUGACGGUAUCUGAGGAAUAAGUAUCGGCUAACUCUGUGCCAGCAGCCGUGGUAAGACAGAGGAUGCAAGCGUUAUCCGGAAUGAUUGGGCGUAAAGCGUCUGUAGGUUGUUUAAAAAGUAUUCUGUCAAAGAUUAGGGCUUAACCCUAGAUAGGCAGAAUAAAAUUUUAAGCUAGAGUUUGGUAGAGGCAGAGGGAAUUCCCGGUGGAGCGGUGAAAUGCGUAGAUAUCGGGAGGAACACCAAAGGCGAAGGCACUCUGCUGGGCCAAUACUAACACUGAGAGACGAAAGCGAGGGGAGCAAAUGGGAUUAGAAACCCUUGUAGUCC
rnacentral:rRNA from 1 species